rnacentral:tRNA from 1 species
GCUCGGGUGUCGGAACUGGUAGACGAUCACGACUCAAAAUCGUGUGGCCUUAUGGCCGUGAGGGUUCAAGUCCCUCCCCGAGCACAA